rnacentral:rRNA from 1 species
CCCGCUGAACUUAAGCAUAUCAAUAAGCGGAGGAAAAGAAACUAACAAGGAUUCCCUUAGUAACUGCGAGUGAAGAGGGAAAAGCUCAAAUUUAAAAUCUGGCGGUCAUUGGCCGUCCGAGUUGUAAUCUAGAGAAGUGUUACCCGUGCUGGACCAUGUACAAGUCUCCUGGAAUGGAGCAUCACAGAGGGUGAGAAUCCCGUCUUUGACAUGGACUACCAGUGCUUUUGUGAUGCGCUCUCGAAGAGUCGAGUUGUUUGGGAAUGCAGCUCAAAAUGGGUGGUAAAUUCCAUCUAAAGCUAAAUAUUGGCGAGAGACCGAUAGCGAACAAGUACCGUGAGGGAAAGAUGAAAAGCACUUUGGAAAGAGAGUUAAACAGUACGUGAAAUUGUUGAAAGGGAAACGUUUGAAGUCAGUCGCGUCGGCCGAGACUCAACCUUGCUUCUGCUCGGUGCACUUCUCGGUUGACGGGUCAGCAUCAAUUUUGACCGCCGGAUAAAGGUCGGGGGAAUGUGGCAUCCUUCGGGAUGUGUUAUAGACCUCGAUUCGGAUACGGCGAUUGGGAUUGAGGAACUCGGCGCUUUGCGUCCAGGAUGCUGGCAUAAUGGCUUUAAGCGACCCGUCUUGAAACACGG